rfam:Schistosoma curassoni strain Dakar, Senegal genome assembly, scaffold: SCTD_scaffold0000820
AUCCAGCUGACGAGUCCCAAAUAGGACAAAACGUGAGCCCUGGAU